GCAACCUGCCCUGGACUCUGGGAUAAGCGCUGGAAACGGCGUCUAAUACUGGAUAUGAGACGUGAUCGCAUGGUCGUGUUUGGAAAGAUUUUUCGGUCUGGGAUGGGCUCGCGGCCUAUCAGCUUGUUGGUGAGGUAAUGGCUCACCAAGGCGUCGACGGGUAGCCGGCCUGAGAGGGUGACCGGCCACACUGGGACUGAGACACGGCCCAGACUCCUACGGGAGGCAGCAGUGGGGAAUAUUGCACAAUGGGCGGAAGCCUGAUGCAGCAACGCCGCGUGAGGGAUGACGGCCUUCGGGUUGUAAACCUCUUUUAGCAGGGAAGAAGCGAAAGUGACGGUACCUGCAGAAAAAGCGCCGGCUAACUACGUGCCAGCAGCCGCGGUAAUACGUAGGGCGCAAGCGUUAUCCGGAAUUAUUGGGCGUAAAGAGCUCGUAGGCGGUUUGUCGCGUCUGCUGUGAAAUCCCGAGGCUCAACCUCGGGCCUGCAGUGGGUACGGGCAGACUAGAGUGCGGUAGGGGAGAUUGGAAUUCCUGGUGUAGCGGUGGAAUGCGCAGAUAUCAGGAGGAACACCGAUGGC
rnacentral:rRNA from 1 species